AGCAGAAUAGCUCAGUUGGAUGCCUUCGGGCCAGAGCAUCUCACAUGACAUGCGAAGGUCGCAGGUUCGAAUCCUGCUUCAGCCA